UGAGAACUUUGAAGACUGAAGUGGAGAAAGGUUCCAUGUGAACAGUAAUUGGACAUGGGUGAGUCGAUCCUAAGAGAUAGGAGAAUUCUUUUUGAAAGUGGCCCUUCCUCGGAUGGGCCCGGCUAUCGAAAGGGAAUCGGGUUAAUAUUCCCGAACCAGGAAGUGGAUGUUGAGUGGCAACACAAGCAAAGCCGGGGACGACGGCGGGGGCCCCGACAAGAGUUUUCUUUUCUUGUUAACAAGUGCAUCGACCCUGGAAUCGGAUUGACCGGAGAUAGGGUGGACGGCUUGGGAAAGGCGGUUACUUUUGGACCGUUUCGGUGCGCUCUCGACGUUCCUUGAAAACCUGGUGGCGUGUCUUAUUCGCACUCCUGGUCGUACUCAUCACCGCAUCAGGUCUCCAAGGUUAGCAGCCUCUAGUCGAUAGAAGAAUGUAGAUAAGGGAAGUCGGCAAACUAGAUCCGUA
rnacentral:rRNA from 13 species